rnacentral:rRNA from 1 species
GAUGAACGCUGGCGGCGUGCCUAAUACAUGCAAGUCGAGCGAACAGACGAGGAGCUUGCUCCUCUGACGUUAGCGGCGGACGGGUGAGUAACACGUGGAUAACCUACCUAUAAGACUUGGAUAACUUCGGGAAACCGGAGCUAAUACCGGAUAAUAUAUUGAACCGCAUGGUUCAAUAGUGAAAGACGGUUUUGCUGUCACUUAUAGAUGGAUCCGCGCCGCAUUAGCUAGUUGGUAAGGUAACGGCUUACCAAGGCAACGAUGCGUAGCCGACCUGAGAGGGUGAUCGGCCACAAUGGAACUGAGACACGGUCCAGACGCCUACGGGAGGCAGCAGUAGGGAAUCUUCCGCAAUGGGCGAAAGCUUGACGGAGCAACGCCGCGGGAGUGAUGAAGGUCUUCGGAUCGUAAAACUCUGUUAUUAGGGAAGAACAAAUGUGUAAGUAACUAUGCACGUCUUGACGGUACCUAAUCAGAAAGCCACGGCUAACUACGUG